AUGCUAACAUCCCUGUUAGCGAAUCUACAAUAUGUAAAACACUAAACAAUAAUGGAUUUCAUGGGAGGAUACCACAGAGGAAGCCACUGCUGUCCACAUAAAAAUUGCUGCAUGUUUACAGUUUGCACAAGAGCACCUGGAUGUUCCACAGCAGUACUGGCAAAAUAUUAUGUGGACAGAUGAAACCAAAGUCGAGUUGUU